rnacentral:rRNA from 1 species
UUUAGAUAUUGGGUAGGGGAGCGUUCUGUAAGCCGUUGAAGGUGAAUCGAAGGUUUGCUGGAGGUAUCAGAAGUGCGAAUGCUGACAUGAGUAACGACAAAGGGGGUGAAAAACCUCCUCGCCGGAAGACCAAGGGUUCCUGUCCAACGUUAAUCGGGGCAGGGUGAGUCGACCCCUAAGGUGAGGCCGAAAGGCGUAAUCGAUGGGAAACGGGUUAAUAUUCCCGUACUUCUGACUAUUGCGAUGGGGGGACGGAGAAGGCUAGGUGGGCCAGGCGACGGUUGUCCUGGUUCAAGUGCGUAGGCUUGAGAGUUAGGUAAAUCCGGCUCUCUCUAAGGCUGAGACACGACGUCGAGCUGCUACGGCAGUGAAGUCAUUGAUGCCAUGCUUCCAGGAAAAGCCUCUAAGCUUCAGAUAGUCAGGAAUCGUACCCCAAACCGACACAGGUGGUCGGGUAGAGAAUACCAAGGCGCUUGAGAGAACUCGGGUGAAGGAACUAGGCAAAAUGGUACCGUAACUUCGGGAGAAGGUACGCUCUUGAUGGUGAAGUCCCUCGCGGAUGGAGCUGACGAGAGUCGCAGAUACCAGGUGGCUGCAACUGUUUAUUAAAAACACAGCACUGUGCAAAAUCGCAAGAUGACGUAUACGGUGUGACGCCUGCCCGGUGCCGGAAGGUUAAUUGAUGGGGUUAGCGUAAGCGAAGCUCUUGAUCGAAGCCCCGGUAAACGGCGGCCGUAACUAUAACGGUCCUAAGGUAGCGAAAUUCCUUGUCGGGUAAGUUCCGACCUGCACGAAUGGCGUAAUGAUGGCCACGCUGUCUCCACCCGAGACUCAGUGAAAUUGAAAUCGCUGUGAAGAUGCAGUGUACCCGCGGCUAGACGGAAAGACCCCGUGAACCUUUACUACAGCUUGGCACUGAACAUUGAACCUACAUGUGUAGGAUAGGUGGGAGGCUUUGAAGACGUGACGCCAGUUGCGUUGGAGCCGUCCUUGAAAUACCACCCUUGUAUGUUUGAUGUUCUAACUUAGACCCGUUAUCCGGGUUGAGGACAGUGCCUGGUGGGUAGUUUGACUGGGGCGGUCUCCUCCCAAAGAGUAACGGAGGAGCACGAAGGUGGGCUAAUCACGGUUGGACAUCGUGAGGUUAGUGCAAUGGCAUAAGCCCGCUUAACUGCGAGAAUGACGGUUCGAGCAGGUGCGAAAGCAGGUCAUAGUGAUCCGGUGGUUCUGUAUGGAAGGGCCAUCGCUCAACGGAUAAAAGGUACUCCGGGGAUAACAGGCUGAUACCGCCCAAGAGUUCAUAUCGACGGCGGUGUUUGGCACCUCGAUGUCGGCUCAUCACAUCCUGGGGCUGAAGUCGGUCCCAAGGGUAUGGCUGUUCGCCAUUUAAAGUGGUACGCGAGCUGGGUUUAGAACGUCGUGAGACAGUUCGGUCCCUAUCUGCCGUGGGCGUUGGAAGAUUGAAGGGGGCUGCUCCUAGUACGAGAGGACCGGAGUGGACGAACCUCUGGUGUUCGGGUUGUGUCGCCAGACGCAUUGCCCGGUAGCUAAGUUCGGAAUUGAUAAGCGCUGAAAGCAUCUAAGCGCGAAGCGAGCCCUGAGAUGAGUCUUCCCUGACAGUUUAACUGUCCUAAAGGGUUGUUCGAGACUAGAACGUUGAUAGGCAGGGUGUGUAAGCGUUGUGAGGCGUUGAGCUAACCUGUACUAAUUGCCCGUGAGGCUUAACCA